UGGGGAAUAUUGGACAAUGGGCGCAAGCCUGAUCCAGCCAUGCCGCGUGAGUGAUGAAGGCCCUAGGGUUGUAAAGCUCUUUCACCGGUGAAGAUAAUGACGGUAACCGGAGAAGAAGCCCCGGCUAACUUCGUGCCAGCAGCCGCGGUAAUACGAAGGGGGCUAGCGUUGUUCGGAUUUACUGGGCGUAAAGCGCACGUAGGCGGACUUUUAAGUCAGGGGUGAAAUCCCGGGGCUCAACCCCGGAACUGCCUUUGAUACUGGAAGUCUUGAGUAUGGAAGAGGUGAGUGGAAUUCCGAGUGUAGAGGUGAAAUUCGUAGAUAUUCGGAGGAACACCAGUGGCGAAGGCGGCUCACUGGACCAUUACUGACGCUGAGGUGCGAAAGCGUGGGGAGCAAACAGG
rnacentral:rRNA from 1 species